GGGGCGUUGGGCAAGUCAGGUUACGCCGCUUGAUUCUCAAUCAGGAAAUCGCCGGUUCAAAUCCGGCACGCCCGG
rnacentral:tRNA from 1 species